AGAGUUUGAUCAUGGCUCAGAUUGAACGCUGGCGGCAUGCCUUACACAUGCAAGUCGAACGGCAGCACGAGAGCUUGCUCUUGGUGGCGAGUGGCGAACGGGUGAGUAAUAUAUCGGAACGUACCCUAGAGUGGGGGAUAACGUAGCGAAAGUUACGCUAAUACCGCAUACGAUCUACGGAUGAAAGUGGGGGAUCGCAAGACCUCAUGCUCAUGGAGCGGCCGAUAUCUGAUUAGCUAGUUGGUGGGGUAAAAGCUCACCAAGGCGACGAUCAGUAGCUGGUCUGAGAGGACGACCAGCCACACUGGAACUGAGACACGGUCCAGACUCCUACGGGAGGCAGCAGUGGGGAAUUUUGGACAAUGGGCGCAAGCCUGAUCCAGCAAUGCCGCGUGAGUGAAGAAGGCCUUCGGGUUGUAAAGCUCUUUUGUCAGGGAAGAAACGGUGGACUCUAAUACAGAUCACUAAUGACGGUACCUGAAGAAUAAGCACCGGCUAACUACGUGCCAGUAGCCGCGGUAAUACGUAGGGUGCAAGCGUUAAUCGGAAUUACUGGGCGUAAAGCGUGCGCAGGCGGUUGUGCAAGACAGAUGUGAAAUCCCCGGGCUCAACCUGGGAAUUGCAUUUGUGACUGCACGGCUAGAGUGUGUCAGAGGGGGGUAGAAUUCCACGUGUAGCAGUGAAAUGCGUAGAGAUGUGGAGGAAUACCGAUGGCGAAGGCAGCCCCCUGGGAUAACACUGACGCUCAUGCACGAAAGCGUGGGGAGCAAACAGGAUUAGAUACCCUGGUAGUCCACGCCCUAAACGAUGUCUACUAGUUGUCGGGUCUUAAUUGACUUGGUAACGCAGCUAACGCGUGAAGUAGACCGCCUGGGGAGUACGGUCGCAAGAUUAAAACUCAAAGGAAUUGACGGGGACCCGCACAAGCGGUGGAUGAUGUGGAUUAAUUCGAUGCAACGCGAAAAACCUUACCUACCCUUGACAUGUCUGGAAUCCUUGAGAGAUCAGGGAGUGCUCGAAAGAGAAUCAGAACACAGGUGCUGCACGGCUGUCGUCAGUUCGUGUCGUGAGAUGUUGGGUUAAGUCCCGCAACGAGCGCAACCCUUGUCAUUAGUUGCUACGAAAGGGCACUCUAAUGAGACUGCCGGUGACAAACCGGAGGAAGGUGGGGAUGACGUCAAGUCCUCAUGGCCCUUAUGGGUAGGGCUUCACACGUCAUACAGUGGUACAUACAGAGGGCCGCCAACCCGCGAGGGGGAGCUAAUCCCAGAAAGUGUAUCGUAGUCCGGAUUGUAGUCUGCAACUCGACUACAUGAAGUUGGAAUCGCUAGUAAUCGCGGAUCAGCAUGUCGCGGUGAAUACGUUCCCGGGUCUUGUACACACCGCCCGUCACACCAUGGGAGCGGGUUUCACCAGAAGUGGGUAGCCUAACCGCAAGGAGGGCGCUCACCACGGUGGGAUUCGUGACUGGGGUGAAGUCGUAACAAGGUA
rnacentral:rRNA from 1 species